UACGUAGGGGGCAAGCGUUAUUCGGAAUUACUGGGCGUAAAGCGCACGUAGGCGGCUGGGUAAGUUGGAUGUGAAAUCCCCGGGCUUAACUUGGGAAUUGCAUUCAAGACUGCCGUGCUAGAGUGUGGAAGAGGGAAGCGGAAUUCCAGGUGUAGCGGUGAAAUGCGUAGAUAUCUGGAGGAACAUCAGUGGCGAAGGCGGCCAUCUGGACCAGCACUGACACUGAGGCACGAAAGCGUGGGGAGCAAACAGG
rnacentral:rRNA from 1 species